rnacentral:rRNA from 1 species
UGGCGGACGGGUGAGUAACGCGUGGAAAACCUGCCGUAUACUGGGGGAUAACACUUAGAAAUAGGUGCUAAUACCGCAUAAGCGCACAGCUUCGCAUGAAGUGGUGUGAAAAACUCUGGUGGUACAGGAUGGACCCGCGUCUGAUUAGCUGGUUGGCGGGGUAACGGCCCACCAAGGCGACGAUCAGUAGCCGGCCUGAGAGGGUGAACGGCCACAUUGGGACUGAGACACGGCCCAAACUCCUACGGAAGGCAGCAG